AUUUCUAAAUCGCUGAAUCCGUUUGGAACGGGGGAACCAACUUUGUGGAGGCAAUCCACUUGGGGUGAGGCCUAAUAAUAGGCGGGGCUAUUCUGAGCCCUAAUCCGACAGCUAACUCCGUAAGCGUUGCAGAAGAGGAAGA
rnacentral:sRNA from 2 species